rnacentral:rRNA from 1 species
GUACGCGAGCUGGGUUUAGAACGUCGUGAGACAGUUCGGUCCCUAUCUGCCGCGGGCGUGGAGAUUUGCGGGGCGCUGUUCCUAGUACGAGAGGACCGGAAUGGACAGACCUCUGGUGCACCGGUUGUCACGCCCAGUGGCAUGGCCGGGUAGCUACGUCCGGACGGGAUAACCGCUGAAAGCAUCUAAGCGGGAAGCCCCCCCCAAGAUUAGAUCUCCCGAGUCCUUGAGACUCCUGAAGGUCCGUUGGAGACCACGACGUGGAUAGGCGGGCGGUGGACGCGCGGUAACGCGUGCAGCCUACCCGUACUAAUUGACCGUGCGGCUUGACCCUGCAACACCCAA